rnacentral:rRNA from 1 species
GACGAACGCUGGCGGCGUGCUUAACACAUGCAAGUCGAACGGAAAGGCCCUGCUUUUGUGGGGUGCUCGAGUGGCGAACGGGUGAGUAACACGUGAGUAACCUGCCCUUGACUUUGGGAUAACUUCAGGAAACUGGGGCUAAUACCGGAUAGGAGCUCCUGCUGCAUGGUGGGGGUUGGAAAGUUUCGGCGGUUGGGGAUGGACUCGCGGCUUAUCAGCUUGUUGGUGGGGUAGUGGCUUACCAAGGCUUUGACGGGUAGCCGGCCUGAGAGGGUGACCGGCCACAUUGGGACUGAGAUACGGCCCAGACUCCUACGGGAGGCAGCAGUGGGGAAUAUUGCACAAUGGGCGGAAGCCUGAUGCAGCAACGCCGCGUGCGGGAUGACGGCCUUCGGGUGGUAGACCGCUUUCGCCUGUGACGAAGCGUGAGUGACGGUAAUGGGUAAAGAAGCACCGGCUAACUACGUG